GACGAACGCUGGCGGCGUGCUUAACACAUGCAAGUCGAACGGAAAGGCCUCUUUCGGGGGGUACUCGAGUGGCGAACGGGUGAGUAACACGUGAGUAACCUGCCCUUGACUUUGGGAUAACUUCAGGAAACUGGGGCUAAUACCGGAUAGGAGCUCCUGCUGCAUGGUGGGGGUUGGAAAGUUUCGGCGGUUGGGGAUGGACUCGCGGCUUAUCAGCUUGUUGGUGGGGUAGUGGCUUACCAAGGCUUUGACGGGUAGCCGGCCUGAGAGGGUGACCGGCCACAUUGGGACUGAGAUACGGCCCAGACUCCUACGGGAGGCAGCAGUGGGGAAUAUUGCACAAUGGGCGGAAGCCUGAUGCAGCAACGCCGCGUGCGGGAUGACGGCCUUCGGGUUGUAAACCGCUUUCGCCUGUGACGAAGCGUGAGUGACGGUAAUGGGUAAAGAAGCACCGGCUAACUAC
rnacentral:rRNA from 1 species